UCGUCUGCGGUAGGAGGGAACAAUGUUUAUGUAACCUAUUUAUGUUAUCUGCCCCAUUCUUCGGUUUGUGUCUCACCAACAAGCGUGUGGCGCAGCACGGAUAGAAACAGUCACUAGGAUGUCCAAGGAGGGCCAACCACGCGAACCGGAGCAGCUGAGGAAGCUCUUCAUCGGAGGGCUGAGCUUUGAAACCACAGACGACAGUUUGCGAGCAUAUUUUGAACAAUGGGGCACAUUGACGGAUUGUGUUGUCAUGAAAGAUCCAAACACAAAGCGGUCGAGGGGAUUUGGCUUCGUCACUUACUCAAAUGGGUCUGAAGUUGACGCUGCUAUGGAUGCACGCCCCCACAAGGUUGAUGGUAGACUCGUGGAGCCCAAGCGGGCUGUGUCUCGUGAGGACUCAAACAAACCUUUUGCCCAUACAACUGUAAAGAAGAUAUUUGUCGGUGGUAUUAAAGAUGACACUGAGGAGCACCAUCUUCGUGACUACUUCACUGAUUUUGGCAAGAUUGAGGCCAUUGAGAUAAUGGUUGACCACAAGACUGGAAACAAAAGGGGCUUUGCCUUCGUUACGUUUGAUGACCAUGAUUCAGUUGAUCGCAUCGUCAUUCAAAAGUACCACACUGUAAAUGGGCACAACUGUGAAGUCAGGAAAGCUCUCUCUAAACAAGAAAUGCAGAACACAGGAAUGAACAUGAGGGGUCGUGGAGGUGGAAACUUUGGUAACCGAUACGGCAAUGGAAAUGGUGGAUACAAUGACUUUGGAGGUGGUCGCGAUGGAGGAUUUGGUGGAAGAGGAGGUGGUAGAGGUGGUGGUGGUGGAGGAUAUGGAGGUGACUGCUACAACAAUGGAUUUGGAGGCGACGGUGGUUACGGUGGCGGCGGUCCUGGUGGCUAUGGUGGAAACCGUGGAUAUGGAGGUGGAGGUGGUGGAUAUGGCAAUCAGGGUGGAGGUUAUGGUGGUGGCGGUGGUGGUGGCAGUGGUGGCUACAAUGAUUACAACAAUGGCAAUGGAAACUUUGGAGGUGGUAACUUUGGAGGUGGCAGUGGCAGCGGAGGUGGUAACUACAGUGACUUUGGCAGCUACAACAACCAGCAGUCCAACUAUGGCCCCAUGAAGGGAAACUUUGGAGGUGGAAGUGGUGGUGGAAGGAGUAGUGGCCCAUAUGGUGGUGGCUAUGGUGGUGGUGGCGGCAGUGGGGGCUCCGGCGGUGGAUAUGGCAGUGGGGGCUCCGGCGGUGGAUAUGGCAGUGGGGGCUCCGGCGGUGGAUAUGGCAGUGGGGGCUCCGGCGGUGGAUAUGGCAGUGGGGGCUCCGGCGGUGGAUAUGGCAGUGGGGGCUCCGGCGGCGGAUAUGGCGGUGGCUCUGGAGGCAGACGGUUUUAAAGUUCUGAAAGGAUCUGAUGAGUGAAUCAUGUUUGAAAUGGAAAGGCAUUUGUCUGUCUGAACUGGUUGAGAAAUAAAAGGACCAAGAUGCUACAGACUGUUUAUUUUUUUACCUUUUUUACAAUAAAUCUUUUUAUGCUACAGGUGUCUUUCCCCUAAAUCAUUUAGUGAAAAUUUGUAUUUAUGGUAAGCUGUCUAAUAAUGAUUCCAGUUACUGGACCAACAUUUUAACAAGUUAUUUUGGAAAAUCUUUCAGUAUGAUCUAAAUCAGAUACAGACACAUUUGGUUGUCCAUUUGAGGUGAUUUUUAGAAAAGUGAAACUUUAAUUUAAAAAGACUUAUGAGAUUGAUCUUUCAACAUGUCCACAUCACAUUUCUUAAACUAUGCAAAAAUACUGAAAUACAACUUCAAAUAUGCAUUCAGACACUGAGUGGUGUGUAGUUGUGAAUCUUAAUGGUUUUCUCAGCUUUAGAUUUACAGCACUAUAUUUGAUAAAUUCACGAUAAGGUUAUUUAAAAUUACUCCAUUAGGCAUUAACUAAUUCUUUCAGUAUUUGAGUCAACUGAAUAUCAAAAUACUAUUCAUGUUCAUACUGCAUAAAUGUUAAUUUAUGCAGCUUUGUAGAACUUAAAGGGAUGGUUCACCCAAAAAUUUAAGUUCUCAUUUACUCACCCUCAUGCCAUCCCAAAUGUAUGAAUUUGUUGCUGUUUUUCAAAUAUAUCCACUCUGUAGGUGCAUAUAGUUAUGGAAAAAAUAUUUGCACUCAUGGUAAAUGAGCAAGAAGGCUGUGAAAAAUGUAUCUUUUCGAUCUUUCAUUCAAAAUAUUAACAAAUCUAACCUUUUAAGCAAACUAUAAGUUCUUAUUAUUGUAUCUGAAUUAAUAUUUAAAAAAAUGUUGUACACCUGGGUGACUAACAUGAAAUUGUUCAGCCAUGACUUACUGUUUUCACAGGGGUGUAACUUACACAAGCCAGUUAUCCAUCCUUUUUGGUAAGACCGAAGAAUAAAGUUCCUAUGUUUGGCGAAAGGUUGAGCUUCACAAAAUGGGAUGUGGCUAAAGCAUUGAAAAUGCCCAUUUCCACCAUCAGGGCAAUAAAAAGUUCCAAUCAACUGGAGAUCUUAAGAAUCAGCCUGAAAGAGGAUGUGUGUCUAUUGUCUCCAUACACUGAGUAGGAUGGUUUGAGUGGCCAAAAAUUCUAGAAGGACCACAGCUGGAGAAUUGCAGAAAUUAGUUGUGUCUUGGGGUCAGAAAGUCUCAAACUACGAUCAGAUGUCACCUAAAUAAAGUUGUUUAGGAGGGUUUAAAAAAGAAAAAUGGCCUCUGCUUUCAUAAACUCCAAGUGUCUUAAGUUUGCGAGACACUACUGGAACUUCAAAUGGGACCGGGUUCUAUGGUUCGAUAAAACAGAAAUGGAGCUUUUUGGCAGCAAACACCGGAGAAGGGUUUUGCACACAAAGGUAGCCAAAUGGAAAAGAACCCCAAGCCCACGGUUAAAUAUGGUGGUUGAUCUUUCAUGUUGUGGUGCUGUUUUUAUGCCAGAGGUCCUGCACAUCUUCAGAUACAUGGCUUCAUUGACUAUUAAAUGAUUAACAGAUGAAACAAAACCUGAAAGUCUCUGCUAGAAAGCUUAAAAUGGGCUGUGGUUGUGGUAAAAUGGGCCACAUACCAGUAGCACAAUGAUCCAGAACAAACCUCAGAAUCAACACAAAUGGUUCACUGGCCACAGAGGUUCUGUCAUGGCCAUCCCAGUACCCUGACCUGAACCCCAUAGAAAAUCUGGGGUGAACUGAACAGGAGAGUCCAGUAGCGUGUACCUUGGAAUUGGAAGGAUCUGGAGAGAUUCUGGAUGGAGGAAUGGUCUCUGAUCCCUUGCCGUGUGUUCUACAACCUCAGGAAUUAUAGGAGAAUAUUCAGAGCUGUUUUCUUGGUAAAGGGAGGUUGCACAAAGUAUUGAAUAAAAGGGUCCCAAUAAUUGUGCCACACAUAUAUUUGAGGGGACAAAUGUUUUUUGAUAAUUUGUGUUUGCAAUUGUUUGAUGUCCAUUUGAGGAUAGAUCUUUGUUAAUAAUUUGAAUGAAAGAUCAAAAUGAUAAACAAAACAAUACAAAAAAUUCACAGCCUCCUUUUCUCAUAUUUACCAAGGGUGCCAAUAUUUUUGGCCACAACUGUAAGUAAUAUGUUUAAUGUAUAUAGUGCCUUUCCAGAGCUCAAGGACGCUUUACAAUAGUAACAUAAUACAUAAAGAAUGAACAGUCACAAAAACAGUUCAGAUAGUACAGUCAUUGAGAGUGAAUACAUAACAAAUUAAGACAAAUAACACUGAGAAAACAAAAAAAGAUUUAAGUUGAGAUUUAAACUCAAGAGAUAGAAGAGAUGCUGCAAAAUGUCAGAGGGAGUGAAUUCCAUAUAUUGGGUGCUACUGUGCUGAAUGACCUGCCACCCAUAGCAGAGAGGCGAGAUCUAGGGACAGGAAGGAGUCCUUGGUAAGUGAAUGGGUACCAACAUUUUGAAACCAAAAAGCACAAAGGUGGCUUAAAAGUACUCAAUGUCUUUGGAAGCAAUAUGAUAGGUGUGGGUCAGAAACAUAUCAAUAUUUAAGUCCUUUUUUACUAUAAAUUCUCCCUGCUCAGUAGGUGGCGAUAUGCACGAAGAAUGUGAAUUGCCAGAAAUAUGAAAGUGGAGAUUAAAAAAAAGUAAUUAAAUAUUGAUCUGUAUGUCACCUACACUUAUAUUGCUUCUGAAGACAUAAAUUAAACCACUGGAGUCAGAUGAAUAACUUCUAUGCUGCCUUUAUGUGCUUUUGGAGAUUUGGUACCCAUUCACUUGCAUUGUAUGGACCUACAGAGCUGAGAUAUUCU